rnacentral:lncRNA from 10 species
UUAUAUUUUGAGCCUAAGCUCACUCUUCACUUUAAUUCAUUUUAAAUUUAUUGCUUUUUUCAAACCAUUCUAUUUUGAAGCUCCUGGUGAGUCAUCAGCGUUAAUUUCCUUCUGUUCACUUGUUGAUUGGUCCAUAACUCUGCUGACCUCGCCUGUCGGUGGCUUUGUAUGCCACUCGAGUGGGGCUUUAAUGUCACUUGUUGAUUCUGUGAAAUCUUGCAUUGUGUGUAAGAUUCACAAUUUAACCGUCCAAAUGACUGGCAUCCUAGACAUCUGAGAACGAGUGAGAGGCUGGCUGGCCAUUGGUAUGGGACAUGGGGAUCGAUGCUUUGGGGUUCAGCAGGGAGUAAAUUUUGAAUAGGGAUCAGUUUUUAAGUGGUUAAUUCAUUAGUGAAUAUGUUAUCAUUACGAAUACCUUUGCUUCUCCAAAUGGUCUUGUAGCUGCAGGGACUUGGGGAAAGUAUCUUCAGAUAAAGAGGACCCUGUCUAUCUUGAGUUUGGAACAUCAGAGCUUUUUGUGGUGGUUGUAACUAAAUGGG